GUCGGCCUUUUCGCCUUGACGGCGUGUACUUGCAUUUUACGAGACAUCCUAAACACAUUUGAACUCAAUUAAACUGAACUGUACAUGACAGGGAGAUGUCCCUGGUGCGCACUGUGUUGUUGUGCCCACGGCUGGUGAGGAUGGUGAAGGUGCAGACAGUGCAGUGCUGUCUGCAGAUGUGCAGACAGUCACCCCGUAUGUUGCAUCCAGACCUGCACACUCCCCAGGGAUCAUGGCUGCUGACCCGCUCUUAUGCUAAGAAGGGAAAGAAAGACAAAGGGGGAGGUAAAGGGAAGGGAGGCAGUGGGAGGAAGAUUUCAUUGACAGCAGAGGAUAUGGAAGGUAUACUUGACAUCACAGCUGUUGAUGCAGAGAUGCAGCAUGCUCUCGAUGACCUCAAGCAACAGUACAUCCAUCAGUUGUCCCUCCGUACAUCCCCAGGUGUGUUUCACAACUUGAUGGUGUCGACAACUGAUGGGCGUUUCCCUCUGAUGCAGCUUGGUCAGAUUGUACAGAAGUCUCCCCAGCUGCUCAUCAUCAACCUUGCUGCAUCCUCUCAGCACCUGCCAGCAGUAAAGAUGGCCAUCGAACAGUCUGGGAUGAAUGUGAACCCAACACAAGACGGAACAACCCUCAUUGUCCCCCUGCCAAAGGUAACAACAGAACAUCGUGAAAGUUUGGCGAAGAAUGCAAAGGUCUUGUGUAACAAGUUGAAGGACAGAUUACGAGACAUCCAUGCUAAGCAUGCAAAGAAGGUCAAGGCCAAUAAGGAAGGUCACCCUGAGGAUCUUAUACGAGACGUGCAGGACCUGGUGUUGGAGACAAUGAGGAGAUACAGUAGCCAGGCUGAGGAGCUCCUGCAGGCCAAAACAAAGGACCUUCUCGGGAAAUGAAAACUCUGUGGUUUUAGGAACACCCAGGAAAACCUAACAAACAUUAAUCCAUGGCCAGUUUUAAGGUGUCAAUACUGGCAUUUUCCUUACAAGCUGUCUACACUAAGUGACACUUGGUGAAGUAUGAGAACACUUGACAAACACUUAGUAAACAAUUGGUGAACACCAAGAAAUCAGUGGUUACCUGGUUUAUUACCACAUGAACUCUGGUUUGUGAAUACCUGGUGAUUGUCUUAUAGAACACCCUGGAACACAUUGUCAGGGGCCCUGUUACAGAAUAUCAUCAUAGGCGAGGGCUGUCAUGCAUCAUAUACUGUAACAUUGACUUACAUCAGUCUUAGUUCCAUUAUCACUUUAGGCAAUAUGUGUGAAUUGUAUAUGUUACUGUUAACAAUAUCUAACGAAUGCAGGAUGUGUUUUUGAAUUGGUCACUCAGGGAUUUAACUAGACCUGUUUAGAGGCUGACAUUCAGCCCUAGCUAGGAACAAGUGUCAGUAAGUAUACCCAUAUUGGAGUUAAUAAGUUCCCAAUUCAUCUGUUAUAGAGGUUACUGAGACUGGCUGUCUGUCACAGAGAUCAUUAAUCGUUAAAAAAUUAUUGAUCGAUUAAUAAUAAAUAUGGAAGAAUUAGCCUUCAGCCAAAAUGAAAAAAUCAAUAUCAGCUUAUUUUACAUCACCGGUGUGUGGUGACACAUUUAUGAAUCGUUUACUAACAACAGCAGCAUUCUGAACAUUAUUUAGAAGUACCACAUAAAUAAAAACAUAACUUGUGUGUGGUUUUUUAUAACUUAAGAAUUUAGUGAUGACACAAUUUUCAUAUGAAUAAUCAUCAAUAAUUCUUCUAUUGAUGAUAUUUCCGAUUAUCAAUCUUUUCAUACAGUAAUGUGGAUGUUACUGUUAUGGCUGUCUGUGAUGUUUAUUUCACCAAGGUCCAUACUGGAUCACUCACUAUUUCAGCAAGGAUGAAGAAUCUGUAAUAUUUAGUUCAACAUUAUGGCAUUGAUUGGAUGUUUCAAUACUUUUGAAUUCACACAAUUAAGAACAAUUUAAGAAUAAAUAUAAAAAUUAAUACGAUCACAAUAUUUCCCAAUAUGCCUGCCAAGAGAAGUUAGUGAAUCAUAUUUCAUCCUUGUCACUGUGUGACAUAGAAGGGUGACAUGUAUGUUACAGUCUGUAUGUGACAUGGUAAACCAAUAAACACUUGUGUACAGUUU